rnacentral:RNase_P_RNA from 1 species
CCAGAGGGUCGGGCGGCCGCGGCUUGCGUUCGCGCGAGGCGAGGAAAGUCCGGGCUCCACGGAAGGACGGUGCCGGGUAACCCCCGGCGGGCCAGGGGAUUCGUCUUCUGGUUCAGGGACAGUGCAACAGAAAGCAGGUCGCACAGGCUUCGGCCCUGCGAUGGUGAAAGGGUGCGGUAAGAGCGCACCGCGGGCCCGGCAACGGGAACGGCAUGGCAAACCCCACCGGGAGCAAGACCGAAUAGGGGCGGCAAUGGGCCACCCCAAAAAGUAGUACUUUUUGGGGACCCGAAUGGGCCAACUUCCGGCUCGUCGCCCGGGUUGGUUGCUUGAGGGGCGGAGCAAUCCGCCUCCUAGAGGAAUGGCCGCACAUCCUGCGAAGCUUCGGCGACGGAGGAGGACAGAACCCGGCUUAUAGACCCUCUGGCCCU